GUCUCGGUACCGACGGUGUUUAGAUAACGCAAUGAAGGUGGCCGGAGGAGGAGAUGGGUCGAGGAGCGUCGACUGGGUGGCCGUUUCGAGCGACGUCGCACGAAGGCAACCCCGGAGGAGGAGAUGGGUCGAGGAGGAAACGACUGGGUGGCCGUUCCGACCUACGCCCCGCGACGGCCACGAACCACAACCAGCAAAUCCACCACGUGCCAUCCUCGCCCCUCUGAUACACGACGCGCGCCGGCCCUGCCGCGACGGCGUACGGACGUCUUAGCGCUCGCUGCCCCUCGCGAUUCUAUCCGAGCUGCUUCUAAUCGACGCCCGCCCCCACCGGCCGUUCGUGCCCGCCGCGCCCCCACCGGCCGUUCGUACCCGCGCUCGCGCCCCCACCGGCCGCUUGUGCCCGUGCUCGUGCCUGCCGCGCUCACACCGGCCGCUCGUACCCGCGCUCGUGCCUGCCGCGCUCCCAUCCGCUCGUGUCCGCGCCUACGCCUGCCGCGCUCCUACCGGCCCCUCGUGCCCAGGCUGGUGCCCGCCGCGUCCCACCUGCCGUUCGUACCUAACGCGCUCUGUCCGCCGCUCGUACCUCUAGAAGGAAAAAAGAAAAAAGAAGUGCGCACACACUUUCCCUCUUCAGCUGAGUUAGCGCGAUAGGUCUGGCAAAUAAACAUGCCCUAGGUUGCGGACCGUCGCCUGGCCGGCUUUGAAGCCGGCCACGCGGCCGCGGAUCGCAGCGGGAAAUUUUAAACACAAGUACGAAAAUCUUUUUUUAAGUUAAAAAAAUUUUUUACAGGU
rnacentral:rRNA from 1 species